rnacentral:rRNA from 1 species
GGACGAACGUUGGCGGCGCGCCUAAUACAUGCAAGUCGAGCGCCCCGCACCGUAAGGUGCGGGGAGCGGCGGACGGCUGAGUAAUACUGGAGCACUUCCCCUAAAGUACGGAAUAGCCCAUCGAAAGAUGGGGUAAUACCGUAUAGACCUACCCUUGUGGUAUGUAAAGAUUUUUCGCUUUAGGAAAGGCUUCUGGCCUAUCAGCUUGUUGGUGAGGUAAAGGCUCACCAAGGCUACGACGGGUAGCUGAUUUGAGAGGAUGAUCAGCCAGACCGGGACUGCGACACGGCCCGGACUCCUACGGGAGGCAGCAGUAGGGAAUCUUGCGCAAUGGACGAAAGUCUGACGCAGCGACGUCGCGUGCGGGAAGACGGCCUUCGGGUUGUAAACCGCUUUUUUUGGGGAAUAAUUUUUGAAGGUACCCAUAGAAUAAGCACCGGCUAAUUCCGUGCCAGCAGCCGCGGUAAUACGGAAGGUGCAAACGUUGUCCGGAAUCACUGGGCGUAAAGCGUGCGUAGGUGGCUCAAGUAGUCUCAUAUUAAAGACCGAAGCCUAACUUCGGGAGUGUAUGAGAAACCAUUGAGCUUGAGGAUUGCAGGGGCCUGUGGAACGACCGGUGUAGGGGUGAAAUCCGUUGAUAUCGGUCGGAACACCAAAGGCGAAGGCAGCAGGCUAGGCAAUAUCUGACACUAAGGCACGAAAGCGUGGGUAGCGAUUGGGAUUAGAUACCCCAGUAGUCCACGCCGUAAACGAUGCAAACUAGAGAUUGGGGAGAAUCGACCCUUCUUUGUCUCGAAGCUAACGCGUAAGUUUGCCGCCUGGGUAGUACGAACGCAAGUUUAAAACUCAAAGGAAUUGGCGGGGAGACGCACAAGCGGUGGAGCGUGUGGUUUAAUUCGACAAUAAGCGAAGAACCUCACCCGCGCUUGACAUCUUGGGAAUCCUCUAGAGAUAGAGGAGUGCCUUUUGGAACCCAAUGACAGGUGUUGCAUGGUCGUCGUCAGCUCGUGCCGUGAGGUGUUCGGUUAAGUCCGUUAACGAGCGCAACCCUUACCCUUAGUUGUAUUUCUCUAAGGGGACUGCCCUGGUCAACGGGGAGGAAGGUGGGGAUGACGUCAGAUCAGCAUGGCCCUUACGUGCGGGGCUACACACGCGCUACAAUGGCCGGUACAAUGGGUCGCCAAGCCGCAAGGCGGAGCUAAUCCUAUCAAAACCGGUCUCAGUUCGGAUUGAGGGCUGCAAUUCGCCCUCAUGAAGUUGGAAUCGCUAGUAACGGCUGGUCAGCCAUACAGCCGUGAAUACGUUCUCGUCUCUUGUACACACCGCCC